rnacentral:rRNA from 1 species
CAAGUCGAACGAAGUAGCAAUACUUAGUGGCAGACGGGUGAGUAACAUGUAGGUAUCUGCCCUUUGGCCUGGAAUAACACGAGGAAACUUGUGCUAAUACCGGAUAAGUCUUUACGGAGAAAGCUUUAUGCACCAUUGGAUGAGCCUGCACUUGAUUAGUUUGUUGGUGGGGUAAUGGCCUACCAAGACUGUGAUCAAUAGCUGAUUUGAGAGGAUGAUCAGCCACAUUGGGACUGAGACACGGCCCAAACUCCUACGGGAGGCAGCAGUGGGGAAUCUUGCACAAUGGAGGAAACUCUGAUGCAGCGAUGCCGCGUGAGUGAAGAAGGCCCUUGGGUUGUAAAGCUCUUUCGUCGGGGAAGAAAAUGACUGUACCCGAAUAAGAAGGUCCGGCUAACUUCGUGCCAGCAGCCGCGGUAAUACGAAGGGACCUAGCGUAGUUCGGAAUUACUGGGCUUAAAGAGUUCGUAGGUUGUUAAAAAAGUUAGUGGUGAAAUCCCAGAGCUUAACUCUGGAACUGCCAUUAAAACUUUUUAGCUAGAGUAUGAUAGAGGAAAGCAGAAUUUCUAGUGUAGAGGUGAAAUUCGUAGAUAUUAGAAAGAAUACCAAUUGCGAAGGCAGCUUUCUGGAUCAUUACUGACACUGAGGAACGAAAGCAUGGGUAGCGAAGAGGAUUAGAUACCCUCGUAGUCCAUGCCGUAAACGAUGUGUGUUAGACGUUGGAAAUUUAUUUUCAGUGUCGCAGGGAAACCGAUAAACACACCGCCUGGGGAGUACGACCGCAAGGUUAAAACUCAAAUGAAUUGACGGGGACCCGCACAAGUAGUGGAGCAUGUGGUUUAAUUCGAAGAUACGCGCAGAACCUUACCAACACUUGACAUGUUCGUCGCGACUUUAAGAGAUUAGAGUUAUCGGUUCGGCCGGACGAAACACAGUGCUGCAUGGCUGUCGUCAGCUCGUGUCGUGAGAUGUUGGGUUAAGUCCCGCAACGAGCGCAACCCUCAC